CAACAGGGAUUGCCUCAGUAACGGCGAGUGAAGCGGCAACAGCUCAAAUUUGAAAUCUGGCCUAGCCCGAGUUGUAAUUUGCAGAGGAUGCUUCGGGCGCGGCGCCUUCCAAGUCCCCUAGAAUGGGGCGCCAUAGAGGGUGAGAGCCCCGUACGGUUGGAUGCCAAGCCUGUGUGAAGCUCCUUCGACGAGUCGAGUAGUUUGGGAAUGCUGCUCAAAAUGGGAGGUAGACCCCUUCUAAAGCUAAAUACCGGCCAGAGACCGAUAGCGCACAAGUAGAGUGAUCGAAAGAUGAAAAGCACUUUGAAAAGAGGGUUAAACAGCACGUGAAAUUGUUGAAAGGGAAGCGCUCGUGGUCAGACUUGCGCCGGGACGAUCAUCCGGGGUUCUCCCCGGUGCACUCGUCCCGGCUCAGGCCCGCGUCGGUUCUCGCGGGGGGAUAAAGGCGGCGGGAACGUGGCUCUUCGGAGUGUUAUAGCCUGCCGCGUCAUGCCCCCGAGGGGACCGAGGUCUGCGCUCUGCAAGGACGCGGGCAUAAUGGCCACCGGCGACCCGUCUUGAAACACGGACCAAGGAGUCGAGGUUAUGCGCGAGUGUUUGGGUGUCAAACCCGCACGCGUAAUGAAAGUGAACGUAGGUGGGAGCUUCGGCGCACCACCGACCGAUCCUGAUGUUCUCGGAUGGAUUUGAGUAGGAGCGUACAGCCUCGGACCCGAAAGAUGGUGAACUAUGCUUGGAUAGGGUGAAGCCAGAGGAAACUCUGGUGGAGGCUCGCAGCGGUUCUGACGUGCAAAUCGAUCGUCAAAUCUGAGCAUGG
rnacentral:rRNA from 1 species